UACAGAGGUCCCAAGCGUUGUUCGGAUUCACUGGGCGUAAAGGGUGCGUAGGUGGCCAGGUAAGUUUGGUGUGAAAGCUCGGAGCUUAACUUCGAAAUGGCAUUGAAUACUACUUGGCUUUGAGGAUCGGAGGGGAGACUGGAAUUCUCGGUGUAGCAGUGAAAUGCGUAGAUAUCGAGAGGAACACCAGUGGCGAAGGCGAGUCUCUGGACGAAUCCUGACACUGAGGCACGAAAGCUAGGGGAGCAAACAGG
rnacentral:rRNA from 1 species